AGGAGAAGAAAGAGAGAAAAGAAGGAGAGAGACAGAGAGAGAGAGAAGGUGGUUCUUCUUCCUUAACAAUUUCCCCAAACAUUUUCUCUCUAAAGAGACCCACCUCUUUCCCUCUGUUCUCAAAUCGUUGAAAUUUCAAUUUCUUCUCUCUCUCUACGCUAUCAGAUCUCCUCUAAUUCUAGGGUUUUACCGUUACUUGGAUCGCUUUCGCCUUUACUCAGAACAAGUCUUCGCUCUUUUCCUUCUUUUAGAUCCUUGGAUCUUGGAAAUUUUGUUUAUUUCAAUUGAAAUGGAGGCGAUCGAAGAGUUGGGGCAGCUUUCAGAGUCCAUGAGGCAAGCGGCGGCUUUGCUUACCGACGAAGAUGUUGAUGAGAACCCCAGCUCCACUUCUAGACGGAGUUCUACUUUUCUUAAUGUUGUUGCUCUUGGGAAUGUUGGUGCUGGUAAAUCUGCAGUUCUAAACAGCUUAAUUGGACACCCUGUUCUGCCAACUGGUGAAAAUGGUGCUACUCGUGCUCCUAUAAGCAUUGAUUUACAGAAUGAUGGCUCUUUGAGCAGCAAAUCAAUUUUUUUGCAAAUUGACAAUAAAUCCCAGCAAGUUUCUGCAAGUGCAUUACGGCAUUCUUUACAGGAAAGGCUCAGUAAGGGAGCCUCAGGCAACAGCCGGGAUGAAAUAUAUUUGAGACUACGGACAAGUACAGCACCUCCUCUGAAAUUGAUAGACUUACCUGGCCUAGAUCAACGCAUCAUGGAUGAAUCUGUGGUUAGUGACUAUGCGGAGCACAAUGAUGCCAUCUUGUUAGUUAUCAUUCCUGCUGCCCAAGCAUCAGAAGUAGCUUCUUCUCGAGCUCUUAGGGUUGCCAAGGAAUAUGAUGGAGAAGGUACUAGAACUGUUGGUGUAAUUAGUAAAAUAGAUCAAGCUGCUUCAGACCAGAAAGCUCUUGCAGCUGUUCAGGCUCUCCUGUUGAAUCAGGGUCCUGCAAAAACUGCUGAUAUUCCCUGGGUUGCUUUGAUUGGUCAGUCAGUUUCAAUAGCUUCUGCACAGUCUGGAUCUGAGAGCUCAUUGGAAACUGCAUGGAAAGCAGAGAGUGAAAGUCUUAAAUCGAUACUGACUGGAGCCCCUCAAAGUAAGCUAGGCAGAAUAGCUUUGGUGGAUGUUCUGGCACAUCAGAUUCGCAAGCGUAUGAAAAUUCGGCUCCCGAACCUCCUUUCUGGGUUACAAGGGAAGUCUCAAAUAGUUCAGGAUGAAUUAGUAAGGCUUGGGGAGCAGAUGGUUGAAACUGCUGAGGGCACAAGAGCUAUUGCAUUGGAACUUUGCCGUGAAUUUGAGGAUAAAUUUCUCCAACACAUUACAACUGGUGAGGGUGCUGGUUGGAAAGUUGUUGCAAGUUUUGAGGGAAAUUUCCCUAAUAGGAUCAAGCAGCUUCCCUUGGACCGACAUUUUGAUAUCAAUAAUGUCAAGAGGAUUGUAUUAGAGGCCGAUGGUUAUCAACCAUAUCUCAUAUCUCCAGAAAAGGGUUUGAGAUCUUUAAUAAAGGGAGUUCUCGAGCUUGCAAAAGAGCCAUCACGUCUUUGUGUUGAUGAGGUACACCGUGUCCUGGUAGAAAUAGUUUCUGCUUCUGCAAAUGCUACACCUGGACUAGGAAGAUACCCUCCUUUCAAGAGAGAGGUUGUAGCUAUUGCUACUACUGCUCUGGAGGGAUUCAAGAAUGAAGCAAAAAAGAUGGUUGUUGCACUAGUGGAUAUGGAGCGGGCAUUUGUGCCUCCCCAGCAUUUCAUCCGUUUGGUGCAAAGGAGGAUGGAAAGACAGCGCCGAGAGGAGGAACUUAAGAACCGAUCUUCUAAAAAAGGACAUGAAGCUGAGCAAGCAAUACUAAAUAGGGCAACUAGUCCUCAAACAGGAGCCCAGCAGUCUGGAGGAAGCUUGAAAUCAAUGAAGGAAAAAUCUGAUAAAGAUUCACAAGAGGGACCAGGCUUGAAAACAGCUGGGCCAGGUGGUGAGAUAACAGCAGGAUUUUUAUUGAAGAAAAGUGGAAAAACAAAUGGUUGGAGUAGGCGGUGGUUUGUAUUGAAUGAAAAAAGUGGCAAGGUUUGUUAGCAUAUAGGUUUUUGGCUAACUUGAAGUGAAAGUACAUGAUUGUUUAUCUUUUCUGGUCUAUUACUGUUGAUGAUUCUUUGCUAAUGUGGAAUCCACCUUUACUUUCCUGGCUCUUGCGAUGUUAUAAUUUACAACAUCACACAUUCACGGCAUUUUUUCUGAUGUAGGAUUACUAUGGAGUGUUUCACUUAAAUUUAAUAUGGUGCCUAAAUAUUUGAAAAUGGAAAAGCAAAUAUGACAUCUCUGAUUCAGAAAUCUUAUCAUUUGAACAUUAUGAAUGUUGAAAGUUGCAUUUUAUUGCCUUUUUUAAAAUUGUGACCUAUCUGAAAAAGGGGUCUGAAAUUAGAAGGAAAAGUUUAUUGCCCUCUUAUUAGGUCUCUGAAUAUGCUUGUUUACAUAACUGCCAUUGUUUCACUCAAACCUGUUUCUUGAUUGGCAUAUCUUAUAAUAUUUUAAAUUGUGUUGCAGCUUGGUUACACCAAAAAGCAGGAAGAAAGACAUUUCCGUGGUGUCAUUACUUUGGACGUAAGAAUCUCAAUGACAAAAUAAAGAAAUAAAUAACUACCCUUCGAUUGCAAUAAGUUAAUGUGAAACUUGGAUUACUUGUCAGUUGGUUACUUUAGCAUUCUUAGAUUUUUGGUUAAAAGUGGCAAGGACUGACAAACGUCCUCUCCAUGACAUUGUAAUGGGUUUUUAAAACUUGGUACAUGAUAUCAACAGAUAUGGUGUAGAUUCAUACAUAUGAUAAAUUAUUUUUAAUUUUGAAUUGAUUUAUAUUUGUUAGAAUUUAGAAGUUGCUUUUUAAAUUUUGAAGUGCCUUGAUUUAACUCCUGUUGGUUAUAGGAUUUUUUGGUACAUGUUUAGAACUGACCUUUUUUUCUGGUGAUCUAAAUGCAUGUUUGAUAAUGAGUUAUUACAUUACUCCUGCCCUAUUGUUUUCUACAGUUACUGAGUUCAAACUGCUCAUAUUGUAAUUGUCUGCAUGCUAAUCUUUGGAUGAACUAUCAGGAAUGCAAUAUUGAGGAAGUUUCUGAUGAAGAAGAAACCUCAUCAAAAAGUUCUAAGGAUAAAAAGGCAAAUGGACCAAGUUCUGAAAAAGGAGCCAAUCUUGUUUUUAAGAUAACUAGUAGAGUUCCAUAUAAGACUGUCUUGAAAGCGCACAGUGCUGUUGUGUUAAAAGCUGAGAGUGUUGCUGACAAGGUUGAAUGGAUAAACAAGUUGAGAAAUGUCAUUCAGACUAAAGGAGGUCAAGUUAUAGGCGAACCUGGUCUUGCCAUGCGUCAAAGUCAUUCUGAUGGUUCACUUGAUACAAUGACUAGAAGACCUGCAGACCCUGAAGAAGAGCUCCGGUGGAUGUCUCAAGAAGUGCGUGGUUAUGUUGAAGCAGUCUUGAAUAGCUUGGCUGCUAAUGUUCCUAAAGUAAGCUUGCUACUUAAAUUUGUCGUUCUUAUCAUUAUAUUUGGGCUCAUAUGAAAACCUAUGUUAACACAUUAUAAUUGGUUAUGCAGGCAGUUGUUCUUUGCCAAGUUGAGAAGGCCAAGGAAGAUAUGCUAAACCAGUUGUAUAGCUCAAUUAGGUUUGAUGCAUUAUCUUUUUGUUGCAACAUAUUUUUGUAUUACCAGAAGUUUGUUACAUUGCUUUUUGUUGGCUCCAUUCAUGGUUCUCCUUGUUGGCUUCUCCUUCAUGUGAAUUUUUCUUUAUAAUGUUGCAGUUCUCAUAGUCUUCUGCAUAUUCUGUGUGAUUAUUAUGCAUGACAUUCAGAGAUUGUUCUUAUUUGAACUUUUUGCAUUUGAUUUUGGCUAGUGCUCAAAGCAUGGUGAGGAUUGAAGAGCUGCUUCAAGAGGAUCAGAAUGUAAAGCGCAGGAGAGAGCGCUACCAAAAACAGUCCUCUCUCCUUUCAAAGUUAACACGUCAACUCAGCAUUCAUGAUAACCGUGCAGCUGCAGCUUCCAGUUGGUCUAAUGGUAGUGCAGAAAGCAGCCCCAAGACAAAUGGCCCAUCAGGUGAUGACUGGAGAUAUGCAUUUGAUGCAGCUGCCAAUGGUUCUGUGGACUAUGUUUCAUCUAGAUCAUCCAGAUCUUCAUCUAAUGGUCACAAUCGGCGUUACAAUGACUCAGCACAGAAUGGUGAUCUAAACACCAGUUCAAACUCGAGCGGCCGUCGUACUCCUAAUCGGUUGCCGCCUGCACCCCCACAGUCUGGAUCUUCGGGUUACAGAUAUUAACAGAUGGUUGACAAUUCAUAUUUUCACUGCAUUUUUUAUGGAUGGGAUUCAGUAAAGCCCGUAUCACGAUUUGAUCAUGGGGUCAUUCCAAAUUCUAUUUUAGAAUCUUUCAGAGGAGAGGGUAUUUUGUGUACAUAAGACUACAGUUCCUGUGUCAGGUUUUUACCACUUGCCCUACUUAGAACAAUGGAUUCAAGGUGUUCUUGAAAUCCAUUUCUUAUAUUUUAUAUGCGCUAUAUUCUUUUUCUUCUUCCCCCUCUUUUAAGUUUUUCCUUUUUUCUUUCCUUGCCAAAUUUUUGGACACUAGCUUGUAGAUGAAUUCUACUUGUUCAUUUCUGAUUGAUUUUAUACAACGUUUGGUGCCUUGUAACCUGUAACAUUUGGGAUCAAUCCUCAUGAAGGGAAGUGUUAUUGUAAAACUUCCCAUUUAAACUUGUUUCUGGUUCACUAUGAAUAUCUACCAUCUGAAUUUUAUUCGAGUUGCCAAAUGUAACUAUAAUUGAUUCUAAUUUGAUAUGCUUCAUAUCGAUUAUCUCUAUUAUCUUGAC
rnacentral:misc_RNA from 1 species